GUCCCUGUGACAGUGGGGGUCACGGGUCAUUUCUCUCGUCUCUUCCGGGUAGGGGGGGCCCACUCAGAGGAAAGGAUGUCUGUGCUGCUGACUAUGCCUCCAGGGUGAAGGAGCUGAAACACGUGCAGGAACAUCGCUCCUCAGCCACAAAACAGGGAGGGAGUGCGGCUGCAAGGCCCCGGAGUGAAGGGCCCCUGGUUCCUGUCCCAGCUCUGCAGUGAGUAUUACUCACUCCUACUUAGUUUCUAAAAGAGGGUACCAAGAGGGCUUGGAGAGAGAAUCUCUCAAGGUACAUUUCACUGCCAAGGCCUCUCAGCCUUCACCAUGCCUCCACUCCACAACCCAGGAUGGCCCGCGAGAGGCUUCUUGGCUCGUGUCUCGGCCACCAUGCUCAUCCAAAAUCUCUCUGGAAGCCAACUUUGGAUCAGGACAGGAUUCGACGGGACCUCUCCUUCUGGCUUGUCAUCAACAGACGGGGCCAGGUGGACUUUGUAUCUCUUUCUGGUACCCUGAGUAGCCAUGGAACUAGGCUAGCAUCAGGAGCACUUUGCAUUUGUACCCAAGACCGUACCACCAUCGGGUCAAGUCACCACUGCCUUGGGGAUAUGUGCUCUGAGGCUAAAUUUAAGUGGGGAAGACUGGAGGCAUUCUCGAAGGAGGUGCCUAGAAUCUUCAGUUAAACAGCCAGCUUCCGUCGGUUACGGACCACAGGGCUUUUUCUUAAGCAAGCUUUUCUUAAGGACAGAAGGGAAAGUUUCAUGUGGCCUAGGCAGUCCGUGAACUCUACAGAAGACCUACGUGGAGGGAUUUGGCCAUCGGUGGCACGGAAGGUCAUUGGUGGGGAGGAAGACAACUUGGGAAACCACAGUUGAUGGCCUUCAGUAAAGCACAAUUUUUGGCUUUGACUUGGACACACUGUGUCCUAUGGCUUCUGCCAGACCAUUGUUCCCUGACAUUCCUCGUCGUUCUAACUGUCACAGGAUGUCUGUCCACUGGGAGGAAGAGUCUGUUAUGGAUUGAAUUGUGUCCCCCUAAAAUAUGUGUGGUAAUCCCUAACCCCUAUACUUGUGGUUAGAUUCCUGGUGGUGCAGUGGUUAAGAGCUCAGCUCCUAACCAAAAGGUAUGGCAGUUCAAAUCCACCAGCUGCUCCGUAGAAACUUUAUGAGGCAGUUCCACUUGGUCCUGUGGGGUCGCUAUCAGUGGGGAUCCACUGGAUAGCAACGAGUAUACCUGUAGUUAUAAUCCCAUUUGGGAUCUCUUUGUCAGUCGCUACAAACCACCAGCUGACGUUCCAUCUGAGCUCCCAUCCCAUGAAAAGGCAGAGGCACCAUGGUGGGCCACACAGCAAUCAGGGAGAGACUUUGCUUAAAUAUGAGGAAUCCUUGACUGCUGAUGAGCCCUGGCCAUGCAGAAGAAUCCCUGAAAUCCGAUCCCUGUGGGGGGCCAUCUUGGAACACCCCCCCAACACUCUGCUGAGUCUCAUGAGCUGCAGCAAAGGUGACAUGGUCUUACCUAGGCAACUGUGGAGACUUGAUGCCGUCCCUAUUUUCCUCCUGUCCCCUUAGGCUGUACCUGGAAGCCAACUAGUGCUAAAGGGUUGUUCCCAACAUACCCCCGCAACUGCAGAUGCUUCUCUGAGACUGGCUGAGCCCACACUGAGUUUCCUGGACCACCUGUACAACAAGCUCCACACGGUGCAUGUCAAAAAUGAGCAACUGCUUCAAUGAACAGCUGAGGGACCUGGAAUACUGAGCUGAACUUCUUACACACCACGCAGGCACAGCGACACCACCCAUUCACCCUGUCCCCCCAAACAAGGACAGCUUUGCCGGAGUUCAGUGUCAGGGGAGGAGCUGUUUAUAGGGUUGAGUUGUAGCCCAAACAGUCCACCUAGCAGUGGCCUCCUUUGAAACUCCUCCUGGCCUCUCCUGGGUGAGAACAUCAACCCUCCUCUCUCCUUCCUUUAAAAAACACUACCUUUCUUUUCAGGCUGAAGGGUCUCCUACCUGUAAGAACUGGUUUCUCCCCUCC